GAGAACAACGAUGGCUUCGUUUUGAGGGUAAAAUGAUGGCUGUAGAGCAAACACUGUGGACACAGCAGCAGUUGAAAGAGAAGUGUUUAAGAUGAAUAUUGGCAGAGUGAGAGAGAGCUCGUUAGGCAGGCAGGCAGGUGUGAGCCUGGUUGCUAUAGUGACUGCACCCACUGGCUCCAUACACACGCGCACAGACAUGCACCUCACUUUUGCUGCUUAAAAUGAACAGAAAAGUCAGGUCGAAACAAAUUGCUCCCAAAUGAAAAGUACAGGU
ensembl:lncRNA